rnacentral:rRNA from 1 species
UAGGGAAUCUUCGGCAAUGGGGGCGAACCCUCGACCGACGCAACGCCGCGUGAGUGAAGAAGGUUUUCGGAUCGUAAACUCUGUUGUUAGAGAAGAACACGAGUGAGAGUAACUGUUCAUUCGAUGACGGUAUCUAACCAGCAAGUCACGGCUAACUACGUGCCAG